rnacentral:rRNA from 1 species
CCUACGGGUGGCAGCAGUGAGGCAUAUUGGUCAAUGGACGCAAGUCUGCACCAGCCAUGCCGCGUGCAGGAAGACGGCUCUAUGAGUUGUAAACUGCUUUUGUACGAGGGUACACUCAGAUACGCGUAUCUGUCUGAAAGUAUCGUACGAAUAAGGAUCGGCUAACUCCGUGCCAGCAGCCGCGGUAAUACGGAGGAUUCAAGCGUUAUCCGGAUUUAUUGGGUUUAAAGGGUGCGUAGGCGGUCGGAUAAGUUAGAGGUGAAAUCCCGAGGCUCAACUUCGGAAUUGCCUCUGAUACUGUUAGGCUAGAGAGUAGUUGCGGUAGGCGGAAUGUAUGGUGUAGCGGUGAAAUGCUUAGAGAUCAUACAGAACACCGAUUGCGAAGGCAGCUUACCAAGCUACUUCUGACGUUGAGGCACGAAAGCGUGGGGAGCAAACAGGAUUAGAUACCCCUGUAGUC